rnacentral:rRNA from 1 species
GAUGAACGCUGGCGGCAUGCUUUACACAUGCAAGUCGGACGGGAAGUGGUGUUUUCCGUGGCGGACGGGUGAGUAACGCGUAAGAACCUGCCCUUGGGAGGGGAACAACAGCUGGAAACGGCUGCUAAUACCCCGUAGGCUGAGGAGCGAAAGGAGGAAUCCGCCCAAGGAGGGGCUCGCGUCUGCUCAGCUAGUUGGUGCGGUAAUAGCUUACCAAGGCCGUGAUCAGUAGCUGGUCCGAGAGGAUGAUCAGCCACACUGGGACGGAGACAAGGCGCAGAGUCCUACGGGAGGCAGCAGUGAGGAAUUUUCCGCAAUGGGCGAAAGCCUGACGGAGCAAUGCCGCGUGGAGGUAAAUGGCCUACGGGUCAUGAACUGCUUGUCCUUAAGAAGAAACAAUGACGGUAUCUGGAGAAUAAGCAUCGGCUAACUCUGUG